rnacentral:rRNA from 1 species
GAUGAACGCUAGCUACAGGCUUAACACAUGCAAGUCGCGGGGCAGCAUGGGGGUUGCUUGCAACCCCUGAUGGCGACCGGCGCACGGGUGAGUAACGCGUAUCCAACCUGCCCUUCACCACGGGAUACCCGGCGAAAGUCGGACUAAUACCGUAUGUUGUCCAUUGACGGCAUCCGAUUUGGACGAAAGGCUUGGCGGCGAAGGGAUGGGGAUGCGUCCGAUUAGCUUGACGGCGGGGUAACAGCCCACCGUGGCUACGAUCGGUAGGGGUUCUGAGAGGAAGGUCCCCCACACUGGAACUGAGACACGGUCCAGACUCCUACGGGAGGCAGCAGUGAGGAAUAUUGGUCAAUGGGCGUAAGCCUGAACCAGCCAAGUAGCGUGCAGGAUGACGGCCCUAUGGGUUGUAAACUGCUUUUAUGCGGGGAUAAAGUGGCCCACGUGUGGGCUUUUGCAGGUACCGCAUGAAUAAGGACCGGCUAAUUCCGUG